rnacentral:lncRNA from 1 species
GAGUGUGCCUUGCUUUGAAAAUACCACUCAGCUCUAGGACAGCAGGAUUAGCAAUGUGUAAUAAAACAGUCAAGGCCUGGAGCUAUGAUUGCUUAAAUUAUGUACAAUUGUAUCUUUACCAGAGGAUGCGUGCUUAAAGCACCUGGAAACUGCUUUUCUAAAGGAAUG